rnacentral:rRNA from 1 species
AGCUCCAAUAGCGUAUAUUAAAGUUGUUGCAGUUAAAAAGCUCGUAGUUGGAUCUCGGGUGCAGGCUUGCGGUCCGCCUCGCGGCGGUCACUGCUCGUCCUGGCAGCCUAGCUGCGGUGUAUCCCUUGGUGCUCUUGACUGAGUGUCUCGGGUGGCCGGAACGUUUACUUUGAUGAAAUUAGAGUGUUCAAAGCGCGGGCGCUUCGCCCGCAUAAUGGUGCAUGGAAUGAUAGAAUAGGACCUCGGUUCUAUUUUGUUGGUUUUCGGAACCAGAGGUAAUGAUUGAGAGGGACAGACGGGGGCAUUCGUAUUGCGGCGUUAGAGGUGAAAUUCUUGGAUCGCCGCAAGACGGACUACAGCGAAAGCAUUUGCCAAGAAUGUUUUCC